rnacentral:rRNA from 1 species
AUUGAACGCUGGCGGCAGGCCUAACACAUGCAAGUCGAACGGUAACAGGAAGCAGCUUGCUGCUUUGCUGACGAGUGGCGGACGGGUGAGUAAUGUCUGGGAAACUGCCCGAUGGAGGGGGAUAACUACUGGAAACGGUAGCUAAUACCGCAUAACGUCGCAAGACCAAAGAGGGGGACCUUAGGGCCUCUUGCCAUCGGAUGUGCCCAGAUGGGAUUAGCUAGUAGGUGGGGUAACGGCUCACCUAGGCGACGAUCCCUAGCUGGUCUGAGAGGAUGACCAGCCACACUGGAACUGAGACACGGUCCAGACUCCUACGGGAGGCAGCAGUGGGGAAUAUUGCACAAUGGGCGCAAGCCUGAUGCAGCCAUGCCGCGUGUAUGAAGAAGGUCUUCGGGUUGUAAAGUACUUUCAGCGGGGAGGAAGGGAGUAAAGUUAAUACCUUUGCUCAUUGACGUUACCCGCAGAAGAAGCACCGGCUAACUCCGG